UACACAUGCAGUCGAACGGCAGCGCGGGGCAACCUGGCGGCGAGUGGCGAACGGGUGAGUAAUAUAUCGGAACGUACCCAAGAGUGGGGGAUAACGUAGCGAAAGUUACGCUAAUACCGCAUACGAUCCAAGGAUGAAAGCAGGGGAUCUUCGGACCUUGUGCUCCUGGAGCGGCCGAUAUCUGAUUAGCUAGUUGGUGAGGUAAAGGCUCACCAAGGCCACGAUCAGUAGCUGGUCUGAGAGGACGACCAGCCACACUGGAACUGAGACACGGUCCAGACUCCUACGGGAGGCAGCAGUGGGGAAUUUUGGACAAUGGGCGAAAGCCUGAUCCAGCAAUGCCGCGUGAGUGAAGAAGGCCUUCGGGUUGUAAAGCUCUUUUGUCAGGGAAGAAACGGUGAGGGCUAAUAUCCUUCGCUAAUGACGGUACCUGAAGAAUAAGCACCGGCUAACUACGUGCCAGCAGCCGCGGUAAUACGUAGGGUGCAAGCGUUAAUCGGAAUUACUGGGCGUAAAGCGUGCGCAGGCGGUUUUGUAAGUCUGACGUGAAAUCCCCGGGCUCAACCUGGGAAUUGCGUUGGAGACUGCAAGGCUAGAAUCUGGCAGAGGGGGGUAGAAUUCCACGUGUAGCAGUGAAAUGCGUAGAGAUGUGGAGGAACACCGAUGGCGAAGGCAGCCCCCUGGGUCAAGAUUGACGCUCAUGCACGAAAGCGUGGGGAGCAAACAGGAUUAGAUACCCUGGUAGUCCACGCCCUAAACGAUGUCUAC
rnacentral:rRNA from 2 species